rnacentral:rRNA from 1 species
UACGUAGGGGGCCAGCGUUGCUCGGAAUUACUGGGCGUAAAGGGUCCGUAGGCGGUGUGGUAAGUCGGGAGUGAAAUCUCUGGGCUUAACUCAGAGGCUGCUUUCGAAACUGCCGUGCUAGAGUGUGAGAUAGGCGAGUGGAAUUGCGGGUGUAGCGGUGAAAUGCGUAGAUAUCCGCAGGAACAUCCGAGGCGAAAGCGGCUCGCUGGAUCACAACUGACGCUGAGGGACGAAAGCUAGGGGAGCAAACAGG